UCAACAAAGACCAUGGCAACAUUAUUAUAACAUGCACAGCAGACUAAACUCUUGUCUCGUGCCAAGUGAAAUAUUGUCAGACCUUCUAUGUUUGAAUCUUGAAAAGCUAUCAUCUCCUCAGAGAAAUGAUAGGAUACACUAUAUUUUAAAAUAUUUGGACUUGGAGUGAAAAGAAUCACAGAAUUAAGUCUAUGACAGUUGAUCUAUAUAGUAUUGCAAAAUCUGUGCAUGCAAGUUCUUUCUAAGGUCAGCGAGCGGAAAAGAAAAAAAAAAAAAAAAGCCUGCAUCACAUUCAUCACACAUGCGUGUGAACGUUAUUUUCCUGCGCAUCUGACCAUAGUUGCUUGCGUCAAUCCACAUUGUGUUGACAUGUUUUGAGUGAUGCAGGUUGCCACUGCAAUGCACGAUAUCAGGGUCUUCAAAGCCGAAAAGCAACAAAACCCCACCAUAAAGAUGAGGGGGGGGGAGGGAGGGGGAAUCAAGCUGACAAAGGGCUUCCUGUCGGUAAGACGCAAUACAGUAAGCUUUCCUGUCAGCGUGCUUGUUAAAGAGAGGGAGAGAGAGAAAGAGGGGCACACAGACAGAGAAAGCAGAGGGGUGGGGCUGGAGCAGUAGAGAGGAGUGAACUGCUAUAAACUUUGACUCCUGGCCUCCCUCCAGAGGGAGCAGUAUUUUAAUGGUUGUGCUACGUGCAGAGCGUGAGGAAGGUUGGCUGAUCCUCGGCUAUGUCACCCCUCCCACCCUUAACUGCUCGGCUCACGCUACAAGGCUGGAGAUGGGUAAACAGUCUCUGUUUGGAAAAGUGUGCUUUUGCUGACUGAGAUGUGUGAAGUUGGUAUGUGUGUGUGUUUGUGGGGGGGCUGACUGAAAGUGCGAGAGCCUUGGCACUUUGCAAAACCCUGGACACAGCAGUUUCCUUAGACUGGGCAAGUGUCGAGACUCUAUAAAAGUUUAUCUACUGCAGGAAAGCUGAAGUCCAGCACAAGCUCAAUUAUGCACCUGUGAGCAUGCCAGAGGAAAGUGAGGGACUGACCAAAGCCUGCGACUCCCCUCUCGUCAGUUAGAAUGGAAAAGGCCUUUUGAUGAGAGGUGAAACGUCUUCAAGAAACUCAAGCAAGUCCAGUUGCCUACGAUAUAAGAAUUACCAUGACCAGGAUGACUGACCUCACGCUGUCACUCUGCCACCUCCAUCAGUCACACAAUAAAUGCUGCGAACAGUCAAAAACAGAAGACCUCUUUAUCAAAGCCCCACUUGGAUCCUGGCCAGGUGCUCCUUGGACAGUCACAGCAUAGUCAGCCAAGAGAUACACAAGUUUGAAGCUAUUCUUUG